GCUGGGCAUGGUGGUGCGUGCCUGUAAUCCCAGCUACUCGGGAGGCCGAGGCAGGAGAAUUGCUUGAACCAGGGAGUCGGAGGUUGCAGUGAGCCGAGAUCACGCCACUGCACUCCAGCCUGGUGACAGAGUGAGAUUCUGUCUCAA
rnacentral:SRP_RNA from 1 species